rnacentral:rRNA from 1 species
GAUGAACGCUGGCGGCGUGCCUAACACAUGCAAGUCGAGCGAGAUAAAUGUGAGUGGAGACUUCGGUCAAAGCGAUCAUUUUGAAAGCGGCGGACGGGUGAGUAACGCGUGAGCAAUCUGCCCCAUACAAAGGGAUACCCACUGGAAACGGUGAUUAAUACCUUAUAAGACCACGAAGUCGCCUGGCUUAGUGGCCAAAGAUUUAUCGGUAUGGGAUGAGCUCGCGUCUGAUUAGCUAGUUGGUGAGGUAAUGGCUCACCAAGGCGACGAUCAGGAGCCGACCUGAGAGGGUGAACGGUCAGACUGGAACUGAGAAACGGUCAAUACUCCUACGGGAGUCAGCAGUGGUGAAUAUUGCUUAAUGGGCGCAAGCCUGAUGCAGCAACGCCGCGUGAAUGAUGGAGGCCUUCGGGUCGUAAAGUUCUGUCCUAAGGGAAGAAUACAGUGACGGUACCUUAGGAGGAAGCCCCGGCUAACUACGUGCCAGCAGCCGCCGCGG